CAUCACAAGGCCCCCUGGGUGUGAUGCCCUAUGCUGUGGUGUGCUGCUGUUGUGAUGCACCUUCAGAUGGGGUGCAUCUUGGCCUGUGAACAUGAAGAGCAUGCACCACUAUGAAAGGCUGAUCCUGAAGACCUCUGUGGGUCAAUCUUUGCUGACGGCCAUGCAGGAAGGCGUCUGGGGCAGGAGUGUAUGUGGAGGACGCUGGGCUUUUAUGAAUGCAGCACCAGGACCAGGCUCAGAAGAUGUUAAGUGCAACCUCAUUUGGCAGUCGCCAGCCUCCCCACUCAGCACCUCUAGUGAUUUUGCUCACCCGAAGCAGUGUCCAUGGGAGGCCCAGGAAGAGGGAGAGGAGCAGAAAGCAGAAGAGCCCUGUUUGGCUGACAAGUCCCAGGCCCUAGCUGGAUGGCACCAACUGGACUGUAUGUCUGGGCACUGCAUCCCACUCAUUUUUAAGGAAAAUUAAGCCCCACCCCGGAGAGUCUGCUCACAGCUCAGGCAGUUCUCUGCUGGACUGGGCUGCCUGGAGCCCGUGUUCUCCACAUCUGAAACCAGACGACCCCAGGAGCAAAGCUCCACGUUUCCAGUCACUGGUUCACAGCCUCUGGCAGUUCCUGCAGGAUGGCUGAAAACAGUGCCAUGGGGCUGGCAGCUUGCCCCCACAGCCAGUGCAUCCCAACCACACCUGCCUUGGACCUGGAGAAGGAAUCCUAUAAUCCCUGUGUGGUCCUUCAGCAUUACCCAGCAUCUCCAUCCCAAACAUUGCGUCUUCCUUCUCCUUCCUGCUCCAUAAUGCAACCACUUAUAUGGAAAAUGAAUCAGCCCUCCUUGGGCAUCUUUCCAAUGCCCCUCUGACUAAUUCUGCCCAAAACAGCCAGGCUGACCCUGUGCAAUGGCGUGAUCAUGGCAGACAGGACUGGGUCACGUUUGGGUGGAGGAAGGGAAAAACUGUUUUGCAGGCCUGCCCAAAAAUCCUCAUGUUGACUCUGCCAAAACCACACCAAACAUAUGGUAAAUGAAAUAGCUGGCAUGGAGCUGCUUUGGACGGCAGGAGUGUUUCAGCACUGUGGACUGCUCUUUAGCUGUCUUGAAUGUUAUUUACACUGUUUUAAGUAUCUCCACAUUUAAGGGAGAGAAGGCAAAGAAGAGGGCGAUGCCAAUUUUUUUGUGCAUUUGAUGCUUUUUACAUGCACGUUAUUUUUAUAGCCAUGUUAGCACGGUCCCAAUGCUUGCCCUGUCCUGUGGCUGAGAACAGUAACAGCAUUGCAGAAGGUUUCCUCCCCUCUUCGUGUCGCAACAGACUUCGGUGGAAAAGCACACAGAAGCAUUUUCUCUCUCAAAACAGGAGCUGUGCCUAAUUCACCAUAUAAAUGUCCUGCACAUUUCAUGGAGCUGAUGAAAUCAUGUACAGAUGGA
ensembl:lncRNA